rnacentral:rRNA from 1 species
GACGAACGCUGGCGGCGUGCCUAAUACAUGCAAGUCGAACGCUUCUUUCCUCCCGAGUGCUUGCACUCAAUUGGAAAGAGGAGUGGCGGACGGGUGAGUAACACGUGGGUAACCUACCCAUCAGAGGGGGAUAACACUUGGAAACAGGUGCUAAUACCGCAUAACAGUUUAUACCGCAUGGCAUAAGAGUGAAAGGCGCUUUCGGGUGUCGUUGAUGGAUGGACCCGCGGUGCAUUAGCUAGUUGGUGAGGUAACGGCUCACCAAGGCCACGAUGCAUAGCCGACCUGAGAGGGUGAUCGGCCACACUGGGACUGAGACACGGCCCAGACUCCUACGGGAGGCAGCAGUAGGGAAUCUUCGGCAAUGGACGAAAGUCUGACCGAGCAACGCCGCGUGAGUGAAGAAGGUUUUCGGAUCGUAAAACUCUGUUGUUAGAGAAGAACAAGGACGUUAGUAACUGAACGUCCCCUGACGGUAUCUAACCAGAAAGCCACGGCUAACUACGUG